rnacentral:rRNA from 1 species
GACGAACGCUGGCGGCGUGCUUAACACAUGCAAGUCGAACGGAAAGGCCCUGCUUUUGUUGGGUGCUCGAGUGGCGAACGGGUGAGUAACACGUGAGUAACCUGCCCUUGACUUUGGGAUAACUUCAGGAAACUGGGGCUAAUACCGGAUAGGAGCUCCUGCUGCAUGGUGGGGGUUGGAAAGUUUCGGCGGUUGGGGAUGGACUCGCGGCUUAUCAGCUUGUUGGUGGGGUAGUGGCUUACCAAGGCUUUGACGGGUAGCCGGCCUGAGAGGGUGACCGGCCACAUUGGGACUGAGAUACGGCCCAGACUCCUACGGGAGGCAGAAGUGGGGAAUAUUGCACAAUGGGCGGAAGCCUGAUGCAGCAACGCCGCGUGCGGGAUGACGGCCUUCGGGUUGUAAACCGCUUUCGCCUGUGACGAAGCGUGAGUGACGGUAAUGGGUAAAGAAGCACCGGCUAACUACGUG